GACUUGGACUCUGGGGAGGAGUGG
rnacentral:piRNA from 1 species